AACACUCUGGCUCCCAUCACUGCUUUGAAGCCAACACACCUGUGUAGUGUGCGUGAAAAGCAAAAGCUUUGUUGAUAUUCACACCCAGUAUCUAAAUGAGGAGAUCUACUUCCGAUAUCCAUCCCCUUUAAAAAGGAAUAUCAACUUGUAACCCUGAUCUGCUCACCCAGGCUGGAAGUCAAAUCAGAUUGAUCCACUUUUUUAGCCCCAGGCCAAAUAUCAGACUAGACCAUAAUAGGGGUCUAUGCAGACUUCAGGGAAAGGACAAUAUCAAUGGCAUAAUGCAACCCUUGUACAGUUUAAAUUUGGUAUUGACUAAUAAAUAUCUUCCAAUCCCUGAUAUAUCAGUCAAGGACGCUGCCAUUUUGGAUCCCAUACAUGGCUAUUCCAGACCGAGAUGGCAGCAGAAAGCUGGCUCAUUGUAUGGCUAGAUUACAGGAUAAGUACAAACUAUUAAA